GAUGAACGCUGGCGGCGUGCCUAAUACAUGCAAGUCGAGCGAACGGACGAGAAGCUUGCUUCUCUGAUGUUAGCGGCGGACGGGUGAGUAACACGUGGAUAACCUACCUAUAAGACUGGGAUAACUUCGGGAAACCGUAGCUAAUACCGGAUAAUAUUUUGAACCGCAUGGUUCAAAAGUGAAAGACGGUCUUGCUGUCACUUAUAGAUGGAUCCGCGCUGCAUUAGCUAGUUGGUAAGGUAACGGCUUACCAAGGCAACGAUGCAUAGCCGACCUGAGAGGGUGAUCGGCCACACUGGAACUGAGACACGGUCCAGACUCCUACGGGAGGCAGCAGUAGGGAAUUUUCCGCAAUGGGCGAAAGCCUGACGGAGCAACGCCGCGUGAGUGAUGAAGGUCUUCGGAUCGUAAAACUCUGUUAUUAGGGAAGAACAUAUGUGUAAGUAACUGUGCACAUCUUGACGGUACCUAAUCAGAAAGCCACGGCUAACUACGUG
rnacentral:rRNA from 1 species